rnacentral:rRNA from 1 species
GAUGAACGCUGGCGGCGUGCCUAAUACAUGCAAGUCGAGCGAACAGACGAGGAGCUUGCCCCUCUGACGUUAGCGGCGGACGGGUGAGUAACACGUGGAUAACCUACCUAUAAGACUGGGAUAACUUCGGGAAACCGGAGCUAAUACCGGACAAUAUAUUGAACCGCAUGGUUCAAUAGUGAAAGACGGUUUUGCUGUCCCUUGUUGAUGGAUCCGCGCCGCAUUAGCUAGUUGGUAAGGUAACGGCUUACCAAGGCAACGAUGCGUAGCCGACCUGAGAGGGUGAUCGGCCACACUGGAACUGAGACACGGUCCAGACUCCUACGGGAGGCAGCAGUAGGGAAUCUUGCGCAAUGGGCGAAAGCCUGACGGAGCAACGCCGCGUGAGUGAUGAAGGUCUUCGGAUCGUAAAACUCUGUUAUUAGGGAAGAACAAAUGUGUAAGAAUCUAUGGCCGUCUUGACGGUACCUAAUCAGAAAGCCACGGCUAACUACGUG